UACGUAGGGGCCAAGCGUUGUCCGGAUUUAUUGGGCGUAAAGAGCUCGUAGGCGGUCCGGCAAGUCAGCUGUGAAAUCUCCACGCUCAACGUGGAGGGGUCAGCUGAUACUGCUGUGACUUGAGUCCGGUAGGGGAGUGUGGAAUUCCCGGUGUAGCGGUGAAAUGCGUAGAUAUCAGGAGGAACACCGGUGGUGUAGACGGCUUUCUGGACCGUAACUGACGCUGAGACACGAAAGCGUGGGUAGCAAACAGG
rnacentral:rRNA from 1 species